ACGGAGUCACUGUGCUGAAAUGACUAGGGCAAAAAUUAUUUUCUCUGCCUUGGAGUACCGAGUCUCAGCUUCGUGGAGCACCUUGCUGACAUAAUAUAUUGGUUGAUGAACCCGGUUCUCAUUCUCCCAGACGAGUACAGAGCUAACCGCCUCCGGGGAAGUGGCCAAGUAGAGGUACAGGACCUCCCCGACCUCCGGUCUCACAAGGAGUGGCGG
rnacentral:lncRNA from 1 species